rnacentral:lncRNA from 1 species
GGCUGUUAGCCUGCCAAGAGAGCCAUGGUGAACAACAAGAAAAUCUCCAGAUGUGCAAAAGGUUUCUGUGCUACACAGUCCAUAGGAGGAAAAUAACAAAACGUUCAGAAUAAAGAAGACCUCAUUUCCACAAUGUCAUGCUGCUGGCUCCUUUUAGAGCCAUGAUAUUCAAACUCCCUCCCAUACCCUCAAGAAACAGACACAGGAGAGAUGUCUCAAACUGGAGUGUAAGGAGGAACAGAGAAAUAGAAAUUGAUGUGGACUUACCGGGCCUGCUUGAAGCCAGCUUUUGUUGCAAUCAUGAGAAAUAUAUAUUGACAUAUAUGAAGAAGACUAGAAGGGAAAUCUGUGAGCAUACAUGUGCAUCUUCAUUUUGAAAUGCAACACACAAGAGAAGAGCUGCUGCACUGCCUCAGGGAAAAAAAAAAAGAGUUUAGCUGAGCAUUGCAUGGAUCCUCUUGCUUUUUCAGGAAUAAACCCUGAGUGGUUUGCA